rnacentral:rRNA from 1 species
CGGUCCAAACUCCUACGGGAGGCAGCAGUGGGGAAUAUUGCACAAUGGGCGAAAGCCUGAUGCAGCAACGCCGCGGGAGUGAUGAAGGCCUUCGGGUCGUAAAACUCUGUCCUCAAGGAAGAUAAUGCCGGUACUUGAGGAGGAAGCCCCGGCUAACUACGUGCCAGCAGCCGCGGUAAUACGUAGGGGGCUAGCGUUAUCCGGAUUUACUGGGCGUAAAGGGUGCGUAGGCGGUCUUUCAAGUCAGGAGUGAAAGGCUACGGCUCAACCGUAGUAAGCUCUUGAAACUGGGAGACUUGAGUGCAGGAGAGGAGAGUGGAAUUCCUAGUGUAGCGGUGAAAUGCGUAGAUAUUAGGAGGAACACCAGUUGCGAAGGCGGCUCUCUGGACUGU